UUGUCCGGAUUUACUGGGUGUAAAGGGUGCGUAGGCGGCUUUGCAAGUCAGAUGUGAAAUCUAUGGGCUCAACCCAUAAACUGCAUUUGAAACUGUAGAGCUUGAGUGAAGUAGAGGCGGGCGGAAUUCCCCGUGUAGCGGUGAAAUGCGUAGAGAUGGGGAGGAACACCAGUGGCGAAGGCGGCCUGCUGGGCUUUAACUGACGCUGAGGCACGAAAGCGUGGGUAGCAAACAGGGUUAGAUACCCUGGUAGUCCACGCUGUAAACGAUGAUUACUAGGUGUGGGGGGUCUGACCCCUUCCGUGCCGGAGUUAACACAAUAAGUAAUCCACCUGGGGAGUACGGCCGCAAGGUUGAAACUCAAAGGAAUUGACGGGGGCCCGCACAAGCGGUGGAGUAUGUGGUUUAAUUC
rnacentral:rRNA from 1 species